AGCUUUGCGCAGUGGCAGUAUCGUAGCCAAUGAGGUUUAUCUGAGGUGCAAUUAUUGCUAAUUGAAAACUUUUAUUAAUACAAG
rnacentral:snRNA from 1 species